CACAUGCAAGUCGAACGGGGUUACGAGAGCUUGCUCUUGUAACUUAGUGGCGAACGGGUGAGUAACGCGUGAGAAACCUGCCUCUCAGUGGGGGACAACAGUUGGAAACGACUGCUAAUACCGCAUAACACUUUAGUACCGCAUGGUACAGAAGUCAAAGCUUUAUGUGCUGAGAGAUGGUCUCGCGUCUGAUUAGCUAGAUGGCGGGGUAACGGCCACCAUGGCGACGAUCAGUAGCCGGUCUGAGAGGAUGAACGGCCACAUUGGGACUGAGAUACGGCCCAGACUCCUACGGGAGGCAGCAGUGGGGAAUAUUGGGCAAUGGGGGAAACCCUGACCCAGCAACGCCGCGUGAAGGAAGAAGGCCUUCGGGUUGUAAACUUCUUUUACCAGGGACGAAGAACGUGACGGUACCUGGAGAAAAAGCAACGGCUAACUACGUG
rnacentral:rRNA from 1 species